GUGGGGAAUAUUGGACAAUGGGCGCAAGCCUGAUCCAGCCAUGCCGCGUGAGUGAUGAAGGCCCUAGGGUUGUAAAGCUCUUUCACCGGUGAAGAUAAUGACGGUAACCGGAGAAGAAGCCCCGGCUAACUUCGUGCCAGCAGCCGCGGUAAUACGAAGGGGGCUAGCGUUGUUCGGAAUUACUGGGCGUAAAGCGCACGUAGGCGGACAUUUAAGUCAGGGGUGAAAUCCCGGGGCUCAACCCCGGAACUGCCUUUGAUACUGGGUGUCUGGAGUGUGGAAGGGGUAAGUGGAAUUCAGAGUGUAGAGGUGAAAUUCGUAGAUAUUCGGAGGAAAACCAGUGGCGAAGGCGGCUUACUGGUCCAUUACUGACGCUGAGGUGCGAAAGCGUGGGGAGCAAACAGGAUUAGAUACCCCAGUAGUCC
rnacentral:rRNA from 1 species